UACGUAGGGUGCGAGCGUUGUCCGGAAUUACUGGGCGUAAAGAGCUCGUAGGUGGUUUGUCGCGUUGUUCGUGAAAUCUCACGGCUUAACUGUGAGCGUGCGGGCGAUACGGGCAGACUAGAGUACUGCAGGGGAGACUGGAAUUCCUGGUGUAGCGGUGGAAUGCGCAGAUAUCAGGAGGAACACCGGUGGCGAAAGCGGGUCUCUGGGCAGUAACUGACGCUGAGGAGCGAAAGCGUGGGGAGCGAACAGG
rnacentral:rRNA from 1 species